rnacentral:rRNA from 1 species
AUAUCAAUAAGCGGAGGAAAAGAAACCAACAGGGAUUGCCCUAGUAACGGCGAGUGAAGCGGCAACAGCUCAAAUUUGAAAUCUGGCCCCCUCGGGGUUCGAGUUGUAAUUUGUAGAGGAUGCUUCGGCGUCGGCCCCGGGCUAAGUCCCCUGGAACGAGGCGCCCUAGAGGGUGAGAGCCCCGUACUCACUCGGGUGCCCUUCGCCAUGUGAAGCUCCUUCGACGAGUCGAGUUGUUUGGGAAUGCAGCUCUAAGCGGGAGGUAUAUUUCUUCUAAAGCUAAAUACCGGCCAGAGACCGAUAGCGCACAAGUAGAGUGAUCGAAAGAUGAAAAGCACUUUGGAAAGAGAGUUAAAAAGCACGUGAAAUUGUUGAAAGGGAAGCUCUUGCCGCCAGACUUGCCGCGGUCGCUCAGCCGCCCCCCGGGGGCGGUGUACUCUUCCGUCGGCAGGCCAGCGUCGGUUCGGGCGACCGGAUAAAGGCCCUGGGAAUGUAGCACCCUCCGGGGUGUGUUAUAGCCCGGGGUGCAAUGCGGUCAGCCCGGUCCGAGGCACGCGUUCGCGAGGACGCUGGCGUAAUGGCUGCAAGCGACCCGUCUUGAAACACGGACCAAGGAGUCUAACAUCUAUGCGAGUGUUUGGGUCUCAAACUCAUGCGCGUAAUGAAAGUGAACGGAGGUGGGAACCCCCUCGAGGGGCGCACCAUCGACCGAUCCUGAUGUCUUCGGAUGGAUUUGAGUAAGAGCAUAGCUGUUGGGACCCGAAAGAUGGUGAACUAUUCCCGGAUAGGGUGAAGCCAGAGGAAACUCUGGUGGAGGCUCGCAGCGGUUCUGACGUGCAAAUCGAUCGUCAAAUCUAGGAAUAGGGGCGAAAGACUAAUCGAACCAU